rnacentral:rRNA from 1 species
GUAGGUGGCAAGCGUUGUCCGGAAUUAUUGGGGCGUAAAGCGCGCGCAGGCGGUUCUUUAAGUCUGAUGUGAAAGCCCACGGGCUCAACCGUGGAGGGUCACUGGAAACUGGAGAACUUGAGUACAGAAGAGGAAAGCGGAAUUCCACGUGUAGCGGUGAAAUGCGUAGAGAUGUGGAGGAACACCAGUGGCGAAGGCGGCUUUCUGGUCUGUAACUGACGCUGAGGCGCGAAAGCGUGGGGAGCAAACAGGAUUAGAUACCCUGGUAGUCCACGCCGUAAACGAUGAGUGCUAAGUGUUAGGGGGUUUCCGCCCCUUAGUGCUGCAGCUAACGCAUUAAGCACUCCGCCUGGGGAGUACGGCCGCAAAGGCUG